GAUGAACGCUGGCGGCGUGCCUAAUACAUGCAAGUCGAGCGAACGGACGAGAAGCUUGCUUCUCUGAUGUUAGCGGCGGACGGGUGAGUAACACGUGGAUAACCUACCCAUAAGACUGGGAUAACUUCGGGAAACCGGGGCUAAUACCGGAUAAUAUUUUGAACCGCAUGGUUCAAAAGUGAAAGACGGUCUUGCUGUCACUUAUGGAUGGAUCCGCGCUGCAUUAGCUAGUUGGUAAGGUAACGGCUUACCAAGGCAACGAUGCAUAGCCGACCUGAGAGGGUGAUCGGCCACACUGGAACUGAGACACGGUCCAGACUCCUACGGGAGGCAGCAGUAGGGAAUCUUCCGCAAUGGGCGAAAGCCUGACGGAGCAACGCCGCGUGAGUGAUGAAGGUCUUCGGAUCGUAAAACUCUGUUAUUAGGGAAGAACAUAUGUGUAAGUAACUGUGCACAUCUUGACUGUACCUAAUCAGAAAGCCACGGCUAACUACGUGCCAGCAGCCGCGGUAAUACGUAGGUGGCAAGCGUUAUCCGGAAUUAUUGGGCGUAAAGCGCGCGUAGGCGGUUUUUUAAGUCUGAUGUGAAAGCCCACGGCUCAACCGUGGAGGGUCAUUGGAAACUGGAAAACUUGAGUGCAGAAGAGGAAAGUGGAAUUCCAUGUGUAGCGGUGAAAUGCGCAGAGAUAUGGAGGAACACCAGUGGCGAAGGCGACUUUCUGGUCUGUAACUGACGCUGAUGUGCGAAAGCGUGGGGAUCAAACAGGAUUAGAUACCCUGGUAGUCCACGCCGUAAACGAUGAGUGCUAAGUGUUAGGGGGUUUCCGCCCCUUAGUGCUGCAGCUAACGCAUUAAGCACUCCGCCUGGGGAGUACGACCGCAAGGUUGAAACUCAAAGGAAUUGACGGGGACCCGCACAAGCGGUGGAGCAUGUGGUUUAAUUCGAAGCAACGCGAAGAACCUUACCAAAUCUUGACAUCCUUUGACAACUCUAGAGAUAGAGCCUUCCCCUUCGGGGGACAAAGUGACAGGUGGUGCAUGGUUGUCGUCAGCUCGUGUCGUGAGAUGUUGGGUUAAGUCCCGCAACGAGCGCAACCCUUAAGCUUAGUUGCCAUCAUUAAGUUGGGCACUCUAAGUUGACUGCCGGUGACAAACCGGAGGAAGGUGGGGAUGACGUCAAAUCAUCAUGCCCCUUAUGAUUUGGGCUACACACGUGCUACAAUGGACAAUACAAAGGGCAGCGAAACCGCGAGGUCAAGCAAAUCCCAUAAAGUUGUUCUCAGUUCGGAUUGUAGUCUGCAACUCGACUACAUGAAGCUGGAAUCGCUAGUAAUCGUAGAUCAGCAUGCUACGGUGAAUACGUUCCCGGGUCU
rnacentral:rRNA from 1 species